rnacentral:rRNA from 1 species
UACGGAGGGUGCAAGCGUUGUCCGGAUUUAUUGGGUUUAAAGGGUGCGUAGGCGGCUUAUUAAGUCAGUGGUGAAAUACUACAGCUCAACUGUAGGACUGCCAUUGAUACUGGUUAGCUUGAGUACAGACGAGGUAGGCGGAAUUGAUAGUGUAGCGGUGAAAUGCAUAGAUACUAUCAAGAACACCGAUUGCGAAGGCAGCUUACUAGGCUGUAACUGACGCUGAUGCACGAAAGCGUGGGGAUCAAACAGG